GCCUGGGUGGCUCAGUCGGUUGAGUGUCUGACUUCAGCUCAGGUCAUGAUCUCAUGGCUCCUGAGUUCAAGCCCCACCUCAGGCU
rnacentral:tRNA from 1 species